UUUCUCUUUUUUUUUUUUUUUUUUUUUUUUGCUUUUGUAAACAUAAAAUUAUCAUAUUUGAUAUGUGCGCGUCCGUGUGAAAUCCAUUGAAAAAAAAAAAAUCUCUUUUUAAUAAAUAGUGUACAAAAGUGCAUGGAAAAAAUGAAUCAUUUUUUACUAAAAGCUUUUUGCUAAUGGCCACUACCUACGUAGGUAAGCUACAUGUAACGUGAUACGAAAAAAGUUCACAUGUAUAUUUUCAUAAAAAGCGAACAAUUUGAAAACAAAAAAGAAAUAUGUAAAGGAAUUAAAAUUUUUUAUUUUUUUUUAUUUUAUAUUUACAUGAAAUACUUACUUUAAGUCUUUUCAUGCAGCAAAAAGCGAACAACACUUUCGAUCCCAGUAUAGAAGUAAACAAACAAGUAAAGAAAAUAGAAAUGAAGGACACAGUGAUGUUUUUUUUCCAAAUAUUCUUCUUCUUCAUUAAACAUUUGAGCACAUUGAAUUUUUGAAUGCACCUUCACACAGAAUGCUAUCGCAAAACAAGUCAUAUUCGCAGUAUUCGGUUAAAGUUGAAACGUAUCUGACAUUUCACACCGAUCUAGAAAAUGUAAAACUAACAAGUAAGUAAGUUAUGUUUACCUUCAACCAAAUCUCGACGAUAAACGCAUUAAAAAGCAAUGAUUUCUCAAUAAUUGGGACACUGUCAGUGGGUACAUCGUGAUGGGCGAAACUUUUCUUGGUUCGAGAGAAAGCUCUUUGCCAAAUUUUUAAAUUGGAAGCUGGCAUAAGCCAUAAGUUAUUCCAGAAAAUGAAAGCAUUUCCAUCUUUGAGGCGCUGUGUACUUGCCAUUGCCUUAUAUAACUCACUUUUAAAUUCUUUUAUUUUAUUGAAAAGAAUUUGUAUUUUUUUUUUAACUAAUUUGUCCAAAUUUGAACUUUUCAUUUCUUUUCCAUUCUUCUAAACUUGAAAGUGCUCGCAACUGAUUGACGGAAGUACGAGAAGUCAUCGCUAAGCAGGAAUGUCGUGUAAUAUGAUUAUGAUCAGCAUUCUGUGUCCAUUUAUUGUAAAUGGAAGCAGUUAAGUUAAUCUACUCACAAUGUUUUAGUUAUGGCGAAAGUAUUUGAUCGUGUAUCUUAUUCAUAUUAUUAUUUAUCAUUUUUUGUUUUAAGUUUGCAUGGUUUCAGUCGCUUCUUUUGAUGUUAUGAUAGAAUGCAAAAAAAAAAAAGUCUGGCACUUUAUCUUAAUACACAAGUAGUUUACACACUAUUUGUUUUUCUUAUUGGUUUAAUUAUUUGUCUUUUGAAAUUAUUUAUUGAAGGUAUUUGGUCUAUCCGGGUACUUUUGUGGCUUUACUCAUGGACUGUUGAACUCUUCAGUAACAUGGGAAAAUGAUCUAAAUGUUUUAUUAGAAUUCCCUUUCGACCAAGGCGUCUAUUUACCAUCAUUACAAGGCCCUUCGAU